AGCAGCCGCGGUAAUUCCAGCUCCAAUAGCGUAUAUUAAAGUUGUUGCAGUUAAAAAGCUCGUAGUUGAAUUUCGGGACCAAUUUGUUGGUCGUGCCUCGGUACGUACUGGUAUUAUUGGUUUCUCCCUUCUGAAGAACCAUGAUGCCAUUAAUUUGGUGUCGUGGGGAAUCAGGACUGUUACUUUGAAAAAAUUAGAGUGUUUAAAGCAGGCAUACGCUUGAAUACAUUAGCAUGGAAUAAUGAAAUAGGACGUUUGAUUCUAUUUUGUUGGUUUCUAGGAUCGACGUAAUGAUUAAUAGGGAUAGUUGGGGGCAUUAGUAUUCAAUUGUCAGAGGUGAAAUUCUUGGAUUUAUUGAAGACUAACUACUGCGAAAGCAUUUGCCAAGGAUGUUUUCAUUAAUCAAGAACGAAAGUUAGGGGAUCGAAGACGAUCAGAUACCGUCGUAGUCUUAACCAUAAACUAUGCCGACUAGGGAUCGGAUGAUGUAAUUUUUAAUGACUCAUUCGGCGCCUUACGG
rnacentral:rRNA from 1 species